UUAAGUUCAGCGGGUAGUCCUACCUGAUUUGAGGUCAAAUUGUCAAAAUUGUCCAAGUCAAUGAACGAUUAGAAGCUGAACUUCAUAAAGCUGCUUCACAUCCACGGCGUAGAUAAUUAUCACACCAAUAGACGGUCCACAAAAGUUCCGCUAAUCCAUUUAAGGGGAGCUGACUAUCUGAGAAGCCAGCAAAAUAGACC
rnacentral:misc_RNA from 1 species